GACGAACGCUGGCGGCGUGCUUAACACAUGCAAGUCGAGCGGUAAGGCCUUUCGGGGUACACGAGCGGCGAACGGGUGAGUAACACGUGGGUGAUCUGCCCUGCACUCUGGGAUAAGCCUGGGAAACUGGGUCUAAUACUGGAUAUGACCUGCUCUCGCAUGGGGGUGGGUGGAAAGAUUUAUCGGUGCAGGAUGGGCCCGCGGCCUAUCAGCUUGUUGGUGGGGUAAUGGCCUACCAAGGCGACGACGGGUAGCCGACCUGAGAGGGUGACCGGCCACACUGGGACUGAGACACGGCCCAGACUCCUACGGGAGGCAGCAGUGGGGAAUAUUGCACAAUGGGCGGAAGCCUGAUGCAGCGACGCCGCGUGAGGGAUGAAGGCCUUCGGGUUGUAAACCUCUUUCAGCAGGGACGAAGCGUGAGUGACGGUACCUGCAGA
rnacentral:rRNA from 1 species